UCAAGUCGAACGAACCUUCGGGUGAGUGGCGCACGGGUGCGUAACACGUGGGAAUAUACCUCUUGGUAAGGAACAACAUCUGGAAACGGGUGCUAUUACCUUAUAAUGGCUCCGGCCCAAAGAUUUAUCGCCAAGAGAUUUGCCCGCGCUUGAUUAGAUAGUUGGUGAGGGAAAAGCUCACCAAGUCGACGAGCAAUAGGGGGUCUGAGAGGACGAGC
rnacentral:rRNA from 1 species